CGAACGCUGGCGGCGUGCUUAACACAUGCAAGUCGAGCGGUAAGGCCCUUUCGGGGGUACACGAGCGGCGAACGGGUGAGUAACACGUGGGUGACCUGCCCUCAGCUCUGGGAUAAGCCCGGGAAACUGGGUCUAAUACUGGAUAUGACUCCAUGACGCAUGUUGUGGGGUGGAAAGCCUUGUGCGGCUGAGGAUGGGCCCGCGGCCUAUCAGCUUGUUGGUGGGGUGAUGGCCUACCAAGGCGACGACGGGUAGCCGGCCUGAGAGGGCGACCGGCCGACACUGGGACUGAGACACGGCCCAGACUCCUACGGGAGGCAGCAGUGGGGAAUCUUGCGCAAUGGGCGAAAGCCUGACGCAGCGACGCCGCGUGAGGGAUGACGGCC
rnacentral:rRNA from 1 species